CUCCCUUUGAGGCCCGAGGCAGGGGCUUCCAGGGCCCAGCGGCCCGGUGGGGGCGGGUCCUGGAGACCCCAUGGACCGUUGAUCCCCGGGCGCCUACCUGGGCGGGCCUGAGUCCCCCAUCCUGGGCAGCCUGUGCAGCGCGCGCCACCUCGCGGCCGUUUCUGGGCGUGCACCUUCAGCACUUGGCUCCAAGGCCCUCUCUGGCCGGAACUCACAGCCGGCCUCUUCUCCUUGGCCAGGCCCAUCUCAGGGGUAAUUGUAGCAACUAAAAUGACAUCUCUCGACAAAGAAAGAACAAGGGGAAAAAAAAAGGACUGGUUGGCUUAAGACAACACAACAUACGCUUAUUUCUCAUAAUUCUAGAAGCUGGGAAGUCCAAGAUCCAGGUGCUGGCAGAUUCUGGGUCCGGUGAGAGCCAACUUGCUGGUUUGCAGAGGGCCAUCUUCUUGUAUCCCCACCUGGUGGAGAAGGAGAGAACUGGCUCUCUGGUUGAUUGUUCAAGGGCUCCAGCCUCAUGAAGGAAUUACCUCCCAAAGGCCCCAGCUCCAAACACCAUCACAUUAGGGGUUAGAUUUCAUUAUAUGAAUUUUGGGGGCACACGGACUUUCAGCCUAUGACACUACCAAAGGAAGAAUAGCACUGUGGGGCCUGGAGAGGAAGAAGAAAAUGUGAGAGUAAUUAUAGCAUGUACCCUAACUUGGUUUAGGGCUUCCCAGGUGGUGCUAGUGGUAAAGAACUUGCCUGUCAAUACAGAAGACACAAAAGACAAGGGUUCCAUCCUUGGGCCGGGAAGACCCUCUGGAGAAUGAAAUGGCAACCCACUCCAGUAUUCUUACCUGGAGAAUCCCAUGGACAGAGGAGCCUGGCGGGCUGCAGUCCAUGGGGUCACAAAGAGUCGGACUGACUGAAGCGAUUUACCGUGCACCCACUAACUUGAUGUAUCAUGGCAGACCAGGGAAGGCAAAAUGACAAUGAGUUGGAUAAAACAAGCAAAUUCAGAGUCGAGGAGGAUGGGCUUGCCACCGCAUUUGAAAAGUGGGACACCAGUAGCUUUAGGAGUGAAGAGUUCAGUUAGUUUCUAAACACAGAUAGGAAACAGCUGAAGCUGGCAUUUCAGCACAUCUUGUGGUAAGAAAAUGCAAGAGAGAAAAUGAUAGGCGGAUCCCUGACUCCAAGAAUAUCUACAGAGAUGUGUGAGCACAGUUGCUGUGGUUCAGGAAAUGGCACCCCACUCCAGUGUUCUUGCCUGGAGAAUCCCAGGGACCGGGGAGCCUGGCGGGCUGCAGUCUAUGGGGUCGCACAGAGUUGGACACGACUGAAGCGACUUAGCAGCAGCAGCAACUUGUAAGAG
ensembl:lncRNA